rnacentral:rRNA from 1 species
UACGUAGGGUGCUAGCGUUAUCCGGAAUCACUGGGCGUAAAGCGUGCGUAGGCGGCUUGUUAAGUGAGAUGUUAAAUCGUGUGGCUCAACCAUAUCGAUGCAUUUCAUACUGGCAGGCUAGAGGACGGCAGAGGCAAGUGGAAUUGGUAGUGUAGCAGUGAAAUGCGUAGAUAUUACCAGGAACACCAAUGGCGAAGGCAGCUUGCUGGGCCGACCCUGACGCUGAGGUACGAAAGCGUGGGGAGCGAACAGG